CAGAGUGCAGUAGUGAUGUCCAACAAUGUUUUUUAAUUAUAGACUACUACAUUCACUGAAAACUACUCUCUUAGGGCUGCUUCAGUAAGAUCCAAGUACCCUCAGAGACAACUCAUUUCUAACUGAGAUUGGGAAAAUCCAGCAUUUCAGCUUCUGCAAGUAAUCAGCAGACCUUCUGGGUUGGGCAGAUAUGUGAAGGAAAUCCAGGAACAAAGAUAUCCAGUUGUUCUCCCUUGUCUCAGAUUUCAGAACUGAGUGCUUGGCUUUGUGAUCUAGAAAUGCACAUUUCUUCUAAGAGAGUAGUGAAUUGGGGAGGAAGAAGGAAAAUGUCCCAAGAUGAGCUUAUGGUAUAUAUCUGCUGGAGAGAAUUUCAUUUGAAGAUGUGUAAACUAAGAAUCUUCAUGACUGUUAGCAACCUUUGGAAAACAGUUCCUCAUAUUGUGAAAGGAGGUGUAUUCAUUUCCCUGAGAAGUGAAAGUGGAAAUUAUGAAGAUUUGGAAGUUUGUAACAAACCAUCUUGAAUACAGUUUUUAAAAUGCUGCAGCACUUUCAAACUUGAGCCUAAAUGCCCCCAUGAAGUGUUGUGUGGUACAUAGACAGUGACUCUAUGGCUUUUGAAAACUUUUGAUGCUUUAGGUAGAAUUCUCUCUAUAAUUUUGCCUGGUUUACCUCUGUAUACACCCACAUACCCAUACCUACCACACCCAUGGUACUUUUUCUUAGUAGUAGAGAAGUUAGGAUAGUAGUUAAUCUCUAAAGACAUAAGUAAACUAAGCUUACAUUACUUUCAUACAACUAUAUAAUCUUGGUUUGGCAAAUGUAAAAUUUAGGAUCAAAAAUUGUUUAAGUGUUCUAUAUAUGUCUUAAUUAUGCAUUGCAUAUUGAAAUGCUUUACCCUAAUCUCUUAGUCUGGAUGCUUAGUUGCAAAUGAUGUGUAGGAAUCUCAUUCAGAUUAGCUGGAGCAAAAGUCAUAUUUAUUGUUGCCUCUUUUAAUCACAAAGUCUAGGUGUGGACUUGGUUUUAAAAUGGCUAAAUCCAGGUUACCUAUAAGAGUUCUGUUUACUAUAUAAUUCAAUUCAGCAUUCCCCUAGGUAUCAGCCUCAUUCUUGGGCAGUUACUCUGCAGGUAGUGAUGACACAGCAGCUCCAGACUUACUCAGUGUUUGGAAGUGAAAAUCAGAAGAGGACUCUGGAGUUUAUACAGAAGAUGUCACCAAGAAAUUCUGGUCACCUUGAGUCGUAUGCUUAACUCUUUCACCAGUCCUUAUGAAGAGCAGAAGACUGGCUUUUGUAGGAACCAUACUGGCUCCUGAAUCUAGAAAAAGAAAACUUUGUCAAAGUCUUCAGACAUACAGUGGGGAGAGAGAAUCAAGUCUCUUGUGUAUGUUAGACACAACACAGGGUGUUCUAACAUGUGAGAGGGUGCUAUUAAAGAGCUCUGCAUGUAAGCAUCACUGGUGUUCACUGGCCACAAAGAUACAAAUCUGCUAGUAAAAUACUGCAUUGUUUAUUAUUUCAAAUAUAAUCUAUUUAACACA